CUGGCAACGGCGGUGCGGCGGUGAUCGUGCAGCCGAGAAGCAGCGGCAGCGGUGGAGAAGGAGGAGUCGGCGGUUGUAGAGGCGACCGACGCUUGCGGCAGCAGAGGGACCGGCGGCUGCUCUGUUUCUAUCGCACCAUAGAAACAGCGACGCCGACAGAUCGCACGGCCGAAGCUGCAACCAAGGGAAGCCAGCGAUGGCGGUGUGGCUAGGGCAGCGUCGCCGACGGUAUAAGCGGCGAUGGGUGGUCCGCUGGCUGGGAAUCGGCGGCCGCGGCCCUUCUCGCUCGAGCGAGAUGCGGGCAGCGAGGAGGCGAGGUGAGAAGGUUGCUGGCCGAGGCACAGCGGCAGCGGUGGGCGCUGACCGGGGAGCGGCGGCGGCGGU
rnacentral:lncRNA from 1 species